AUUGAACGCUGGCGGCAGGCCUAACACAUGCAAGUCGAACGAGUGGCGGACGGGUGAGUAAUGUCUGGGAAACUGCCUGAUGGAGGGGGAUAACUACUGGAAACGGUAGCUAAUACCGCAUACCAUCGGAUGUGCCCAGAUGGGAUUAGCUAGUAGGUGGGGUAAAGACUAACCUCAGCGACGAUCCCUAGCUGGUCUGAGAGGAUGACCAGCCACGAGGGAACUGAGGCACGGUCCAUAAUCCUACGGGAGGCAGCAGUGGGGAAUAUUGAAAAAUGGGAGCAAGCCUGAUGCAGCGAUGCCGAGUGUAUGAAGAAGGCAUUCGGGUUGUAAAGUAAAUUCAGCGGGGAGGCGUGACCAGCAGAAGAAGCACCGGCUAACUCCGUGCCAGCCGCAGCGGUAAUAC
rnacentral:rRNA from 1 species